rnacentral:lncRNA from 1 species
CUGCAGAGAGAUGCAAGCAUGAGUUGUGAAGCCUCCGCCUGCUCAGAGUGUGUGAGGACACGUACGUUGUUAUCCACGGAGGCACAGGGAGAAAAUUUCAUUGUAAACACAUCCCAUUUUCUAUAGAUAAAUAUAGACAUAUUCAUUCAUUUAUCUGUUGAUGGACAUGCUAAUUCUUUAUCCUGACUAUUGUGAAUUGUGGAGCAAUAAACAUGGAUGU